rnacentral:rRNA from 1 species
GUGCCAGCCGCCGUGGUAAUACCGGCAGCCCGAGUGAUGGCCGAUAUUAUUGGGCCUAAAGCGUCCGUAGCUGGCCGAACAAGUCCGUCGGGAAAUCCACGUGCCCAACAGGUGGGCGUCCGGUAGAAACUGGCCGGCUUGGAACCGGAAGGCUCAGAGAGUACGUCCGGGGUAGGAGUGAAAUCCCGUAAUCCCGGACGGACUACCGAUGGCGAAAGCACUCUGAGAAGACGGCUUCGACAGUGAGGGACGAAAGCUCGGGUCUCAAACCGGAUUAGAAACCCUGGUAGUCC